rnacentral:rRNA from 1 species
UAGAGUUUGAUCAUGGCUCAGAUUGAACGCUGGCGGCAGGCCUAACACAUGCAAGUCGAGCGGAAACGACACUAACAAUCCUUCGGGUGCGUUAAUGGGCGUCGAGCGGCGGACGGGUGAGUAAUGCCUAGGAAAUUGCCUUGAUGUGGGGGAUAACCAUUGGAAACGAUGGCUAAUACCGCAUAAUGCCUACGGGCCAAAGAGGGGGACCUUCGGGCCUCUCGCGUCAAGAUAUGCCUAGGUGGGAUUAGCUAGUUGGUGAGGUAAUGGCUCACCAAGGCGACGAUCCCUAGCUGGUCUGAGAGGAUGAUCAGCCACACUGGAACUGAGACACGGUCCAGACUCCUACGGGAGGCAGCAGUGGGGAAUAUUGCACAAUGGGCGAAAGCCUGAUGCAGCCAUGCCGCGUAUAUGAAGAAGGCCUUCGGGUUGUAAAGUACUUUCAGUUGUGAGGAAGGGGGUAGCGUUAAUAGCGCUAUCUCUUGACGUUAGCAACAGAAGAAGCACCGGCUAACUCCGUGCCAGCAGCCGCGGUAAUACGGAGGGUGCGAGCGUUAAUCGGAAUUACUGGGCGUAAAGCGCAUGCAGGUGGUUCAUUAAGUCAGAUGUGAAAGCCCGGGGCUCAACCUCGGAACUGCAUUUGAAACUGGUGAACUAGAGUACUGUAGAGGGGGGUAGAAUUUCA